GGCUCUGCGCGCCCGGAACCUGCGUCGCUCGCUCCCCCCAGACUCCGCCUACCCCGUCCCUGGCUCCACCACCCGGGAACUGCACCAGCUGCCCCGGGCUCCGCCCCGAGGACCUGUGUGGCCCUCCGAGCGCCGGCUCCUCCCCCGAAGCUUGCCCGCGGGACUGGUCCAGUCGCUUCGCCUCAGGCCCCUGCCCUGGCCCAAGCGAGCCCGCCAUGGAGGGGGAUGUGCCCGCCGCUGCAGCCGCCCGCUACCAGCCGGCCAGCCCCCCGCGGGACGCCUGUGUCUACAACAGCUGCUACUGUGAAGAAAAUAUUUGGAAGCUCUGUGAAUACAUCAAAAAUCAUGACCAGUAUCCUUUAGAAGAGUGUUAUGCUGUCUUCAUAUCUAAUGAGAGGAAGAUGAUACCUAUUUGGAAACAACAGGCAAGACCUGGAGAUGGACCUGUGAUCUGGGAUUACCAUGUUGUCCUGCUUCAUGUUUCAAGUGGAGGACAGAGCUUCAUUUAUGAUCUUGACACUGUGCUGCCAUUUCCCUGUCCUUUUGACACUUAUGUGGAAGAUGCCUUUAAGUCUGAUGAGGACAUCCAUCCACAGUUCAGAAGGAAAUUUAGAGUGAUCCGUGCAGAUUCAUAUUUGAAGAACUUCGCUUCUGACCGAUCUCACAUGAAAGAUUCCAGUGGGAACUGGAGGGAACCUCCUCCUUCGUACCCCUGCAUUGAAACUGGAGAUCCUCUGCCUUGUGCUAUGGCGGGAUACCUGCAGCCGUUACUCAAGAAUCAGUCAAAGGAAAUGUCAUAUAUCCGUUUGGGUCAGCUGACCAGGAGGAUUCUGGGAGAAAAAUGACCUCGGAAGCUGCUGGUUGAAGAUAGCAGAGCCACCAUCAGCCUGGACCCCCAAAUGACCCUAAGGAGCCGUCCUACACCUACUUGAAAAGUAUGAUGUGGAACUGAUCCUCAAAGACAAAACCUGUGUAUUUCUUUGGAAGUCACAGAAUUAUUGGAGAAUAGAUGCUCCGUGAGGAUUUGUUGAAAGAAGACAUAGAGUGAGAGGAAGAGGGAGGAAGGAGGAAGAGUGGGCAGUUGGGUGCAUGACCUUGGGGAGCAAGAAAGUGAUUCUUCAGGCAUCUUGACAUGGGACAUGAGAGUGACUUGCCUUGGAGGAAGCCAUGAUGAAAGUGUCAAAGACAGAAGACCCAGAGGAGGCAUAAUGACCAGGAUGCUGAUGCUCACAGAGGUCAUUCAGCGAGCAAGUGGACAAAGUAGGAUUCAUUCUCAGGACUAUUGGAGUCUAGAGCCCAUGCCCUUCACAGACAAGACUAUAGGUACCCUCCUACCCACCCCUUUGCUGACUAUGCCUUCCCUCCACCAGGACUGAAACUCCAAUUUUGACACUCUGGAGAGCAAACCAGGGCCUAGGAACUACACUGUUGGUUGCAGGUCAGGAGAGAGUAGACUAAAAUGGGCCAUCCUUUGACUGCCUUCUCUAAGUCUUAGGGUCUUGCUUCCCCAUGGCACAGAGGAGGCUUAAAGUGCAUUUUAAUGAAUGCAUUCUGCUCUCUUGGUACACAAGGGGGAGCAUUUAGCACAGGAAUGGGAAUAAGAUCGCUGCAGAAAGUAUCCUUGCUCUUUGUAGGAAAAGAGUUCUCUCUCUUUCUCUCUCUCUCUCUCACUCAAAAUUGUUUUCUGAACCCUUUGAAAGCAAGUUGCAGAUAUCAGGAGACUGCCUAUAAAUACUACGGCAGGAUUUCCUAAGAACAAAGUCAUUUUUCUGUAUAAUCACAAUGUUAUUUUCAUGUCUAGGAGAUUUAACAUUGAGGCAAUGAUAUUAUAUAAUACCCAUUCUAUAUUCAAAUUUUUCCAAAUAUUCCCAAGAUGGCCUUUAGUGCUUCCCCCACCUCCCAGUCCCGAAUUAACAUUGUAUUCUCUCAGUAUUAGAACAUGGUCUAAUAUGGUCCAGAAUAUUUUGAUGCAAAAUGUUCGCAAUUUUUACUGGCUAUUUAAUAUUCCAUGGAGCUGAUUUGCCAUGAUUUAUUAAUAAAUAUCUCUUUGGUUA